ACAUGCCAUGCAGUCUAUAAAUACGGUGAAAUGAGAAGCUUUUUUCAAUGCACUACAAUUAACAAGCUCUUUUACUCAAACUUAAUAGCAGGCAUUACUCAAGGGAUAGAAGACGGUACUACGUACGAUAAGCAAGAGAGAAACAUGGCAGGCAUCGAACCAAACGUUGUGAAUUUGCAGGAUCCAGCAGCUCACUAUGAGAAGCUGGUGACGGAGUUGGAGGUCAAGGGUCAGGCCGAGGCCAAUAAUGCUCAGCUACUCGCUGGAGAUGUGGAAUUGACCAGCCCUACCACAAACUUUACCGAUAGCAAGCUCACAAAACUCGACGUUCAUUUUUGGUCUGGAUAUACGCUCACUAGCUUCCCUGAUAUGAAUAGAUUCACAACUUACUAUUUUAGGGAGAAAGGCCCUCUUCCUCAAGGUGUCAAGUGGGGCUAUUGCUACGCUUCUGGUACCGACUCCACUGCUCGUAAGUGGGUUGCGGCUUUUGAUUCCGCUGCUGGCAAGGCUUAUUGUGAAGCCGGGCCUACAGGCCCAGUUGACUGGAACGUAGUUGAAGUUAAGUUGAAUGCGUCUGGAAGCAGUUGCGAGUAUGUUGACCCUAUUCUUGGAGGCAGGAUCACUGCUAAGAUUACUGGUCUCCAAGCAAUAUCAACUCUCUAUUAGCUACCAUGUUAGCUUAAUUAGUAAGCUGCAUUGCUGCUGCAAUUAAUCAAGAACUACAAUCCUUUACAUUCCUUGCUUUUUAAUUAAGUGCAUUUUAAUUGUGUAAUAAAAGUAAUGAUGCUACUAUGCAUCUAGUAUCCUAAUAAUGUACGGUUGUUUAUGGUUGUAAUGUAUAUGUCACCCAAUAGACAAUCUAUAUAUAUAUGGAAUAAACUGUUUCAAUUUACUUUUUUUUUUUUAUACAAGAACUGUUUUAAUUUACUUGGUAUUUUAUUAGAUACUAAAAUUGUUAACUGGAAUUUUAUGUCAUUUUUAUA